rnacentral:misc_RNA from 1 species
AGAAGGGAAACAUGGAUGGAGCACGAAUUUACGCUGAGAAUGCAAUCCGGAAGCGUACGGAGCAGAUGAACUACCUCCGGCUCGCUUCGCGGCUCGAUGCCGUUGUGGCUCGUCUCGAUACGCAGGCGAAGAUGUCCACCAUAAACAAGUCUAUGGGCUCGAUCGUCAAAUCCUUGGAAAGUACUUUGGCCACUGGUAAUUUGCAGAAGAUGUCGGAAACCAUGGAUCAAUUUGAGAAGCAAUUUGUG